rnacentral:lncRNA from 1 species
UUCUCUCCUCGUAAACGCUCGGUUCGCUCCUGCAAAGCUUCGCCGGAGAUCUUUUCUUCUCGCCGGAACUUCUAGCGACGGCCACCCGCAAUUCUUCUGAUUUCGGUCGCAACCCAUAAGAAACCUCGUAUGUUUUCUUUUUCUAUGGUAGCACUUUGGAAUUUUCUCCCAUCCUAUUUUUGUAGCUUGUUGAUUUCGCUUACACCCUAAGGAUGCCUCCUCGUCGCGAUAACCAGAACAAUGCACAUAACCCCGAACUUGCUGCCAUGAUUGC